ACACAUGCAAGUCGAGGGGAAACGACAUCGAAAGCUUGCUUUUGAUGGGCGUCGACCGGCGCACGGGUGAGUAACGCGUAUCCAACCUGCCCACCACUUGGGGAUAACCUUGCGAAAGUAAGACUAAUACCCAAUGACGUCUCUAGAAGACAUCUGAAAGGGAUUAAAGAUUUAUCGGUGAUGGAUGGGGAUGCGUCUGAUUAGCUUGUUGGCGGGGUAACGGCCCACCAAGGCGACGAUCAGUAGGGGUUCUGAGAGGAAGGUCCCCCACAUUGGAACUGAAACACGGUCCAAACUCCUACGGGAGGCAGCAGUGAGGAAUAUUGGUCAAUGGGCGAGAGCCUGAACCAGCCAAGUAGCGUGCAGGAUGACGGCCCUAUGGGUUGUAAACUGCUUUUAUAAGGGAAUAAAGUGAGUCUCGUGAGACUUUUUGCAUGUACCUUAUGAAUAAGGACCGGCUAAUUCCGUGCCAGCAGCCGCGGUAAUACGGAAGGUCCGGGCGUUAUCCGGAUUUAUUGGGUUUAAAGGGAGCGUAGGCCGGAGAUUAAGCGUGUUGUGAAAUGUAGACGCUCAACGUCUGCACUGCAGCGCGAACUGGUUUCCUUGAGUACGCACAAAGUGGGCGGAAUUCGUGGUGUAGCGGUGAAAUGCUUAGAUAUCACGAAGAACUCCGAUUGCGAAGGCAGCUCACUGGAGCGCAACUGACGCUGAAGCUCGAAAGUGCGGGUAUCGAACAGGAUUAGAUACCCUGGUAGUCCGCACGGUAAACGAUGGAUGCCCGCUGUUGGUCUGAAUAGGUCAGCGGCCAAGCGAAAGCAUUAAGCAUCCCACCUGGGGAGUACGCCGGCA
rnacentral:rRNA from 1 species